AUACGGAGGAUCCGAGCGUUAUCCGGAUUUAUUGGGUUUAAAGGGUGCGCAGGCGGCCAUUUAAGUCAGCGGUUAAAUCGUGGGGCUCAACCCCAUUCUGCCGUUGAUACUGGGUGGCUUGAUUGCGGUCGAGGUUGGCGGAAUUCGUUGUGUAGCGGUGAAAUGCAUAGAUAUGACGAAGAACACCGAUUGCGUAGGCAGCUGACCAGACCGCAAAUGACGCUCAUGCACGAAAGUGCGGGGAUCGAACAGGAUUAGAUACCCUGGUAGUCCGCACAGUAAACGAUGAAUACUUGUUUUCGGCGAUAUAAUGUCGGAGGCAAAGCGAAAGCGGUAAGUAUUCCACCUGGGGAGUACGCCGGCAACGGUGAAACUCAAAGGAAUUGACGGGG
rnacentral:rRNA from 1 species